UUUGAUCUGGCUCAGAGCGAACGCUGGCGGCAGGCUUAACACAUGCAAGUCGAGCGGGCGUAGCAAUACGUCAGCGGCAGACGGGUGAGUAACGCGUGGGAACGUACCUUUUGGUUCGGAACAACACAGGGAAACUUGUGCUAAUACCGGAUAAGCCCUUACGGGGAAAGAUUUAUCGCCGAAAGAUCGGCCCGCGUCUGAUUAGCUAGUUGGUGAGGUAAUGGCUCACCAAGGCGACGAUCAGUAGCUGGUCUGAGAGGAUGAUCAGCCACAUUGGGACUGAGACACGGCCCAAACUCCUACGGGAGGCAGCAGUGGGGAAUAUUGGACAAUGGGGGCAACCCUGAUCCAGCCAUGCCGCGUGAGUGAUGAAGGCCCUAGGGUUGUAAAGCUCUUUUGUGCGGGAAGAUAAUGACGGUACCGCAAGAAUAAGCCCC
rnacentral:rRNA from 1 species